AAAAUCCGUCGACUUUUAAAAUCGUG
rnacentral:tRNA from 2 species